UGGAUGCCAAUAUUAAUAAGGAUUUACAAAUUCAUUUAAACGUAAAAAGAUCAACAUUUUUGGAUUUCUAUAUUGUUGUUAUACCGAUUCGCGCAGAUUCUCCAUGUUUAGCAUCUAAAGCAUGUACACAAUUGUUUCGAAAAAAUUAUGACAUUUUUCAAUCAUUGAGUUUUGGAAGUGGUGAUCGUAGCGAAUUACAUAAUGAUUGGCAAUAUGAUAGUUGUUUUGAGAAGCUAAGUUCAAUCACUCUGAUACAAAAAUCACCCAAUGAUUUCCAGAUGAAUGGCUCUGAAUCUUUUGGAAUGUGUUCAGGAAGUUAUAUACGAUUUUUGGACUCGCUAGCGCUUGCUGGUGGCGAUUCAACGAACUGUAUCGCUGGAAAUUCUCUUAAUGAAAAAUCCGAAGAAAAAAAAUUGACAAGAAAAUAUGAAUAUAAAGUCAAUCUAGUCCGGGCUGAGAUUAGCAUUAAUGAUCCUCAAAGUUAUUUCAAAUUGAAAAUAAUAAAGCCAAAUGGAUCAGAUGUUGAGCCAUAUGUGCUAGAACCAGUUGAUCGAUCCUAAUAUCAAGACAUCAACGAUGAUUGUUUGAUGAUAUGAUCAACAUUUAAAAAGCCUUCUGUUUUAUAACAAUUGUAAUUUUGUUAUUUUAAUAAAUGGUUUAUAUUAUAGAACAAAAAUAAAAUUAUUAAUAAUAACCACAA